GUGGGGAAUAUUGGACAAUGGGCGCAAGCCUGAUCCAGCCAUGCCGCGUGAGUGACGAAGGCCUUAGGGUUGUAAAGCUCUUUUGUCGGGGACGAUAAUGACGGUACCCGAAGAAUAAGCUCCGGCUAACUUCGUGCCAGCAGCCGCGGUAAUACGAAGGGAGCUAGCGUUGUUCGGAAUCACUGGGCGUAAAGCGCACGUAGGCGGAUCGCUAAGUCAGGGGUGAAAUCCCGGGGCUCAACCUCGGAACUGCCUUUGAUACUGGCGAUCUCGAGUCCGGAAGAGGUGAGUGGAAUUCCUAGUGGAGAGGUGAAAUUCGUAGAUAUUAGGAAGAACACCAGUGGCGAAGGCGGCUCACUGGUCCGGUACUGACGCUGAGGUGCGAAAGCGUGGGGAGCAAACAGGAUUAGAAACCCGGGUAGUCC
rnacentral:rRNA from 1 species